UCCACUCAUACAAUAUUUCUCACGCAUUAUUUCCAUUUCUUAAUCACUUUAUACUCAUGGUUUAAUUUCUGAAAUGUCUUAAGUGUACAUGUUAUUUCGUUGAUUCAAGAUAUAGAGAAAGGAGCAUCCAAGGAACACAAUGAGACUCCAACAGAAUCUUCAUCUUCAACAAGUGAGAAUGUGGAAAUGGAUGACUGCAAUACUAGUGUAAGCAAAUCUACCUCUGCUGGAAGUAGUAGUAACAAGAGUGUGUCAAAACCUGGAAGGAAGAAGCGACACGUUGCUUCUGCAUCAACANCGCUACUUUUUGGCACAAUCCUUGGCCUUCUUCAAGCAGCAACCCUUGUAUUUGCAGCCAAACCUCUAUUAGCUGCAAUGGGUCUGAAACCUGAUUCUCCUAUGCUAAAUCCANCUNUUAAAUACUUGAGAUUGAGAGCUUUAGGUGCUCCUGCAGUUCUUCUCUCCUUGGCCAUGCAAGGAAUCUUUCGAGGAUUCAAGGACACUACAACUCCUUUAUAUGUUAUUGUCUCGGGGUAUGCAUUGAAUGUGGCUUUGGAUCCAAUUCUUAUCUUCUACUGCAAACUGGGCAUCAAAGGUGCAGCCAUUUCACAUGUGCUCUCUCAGUAUGUGAUGGCAUUCGCCCUCUUGUUGAUAUUAACUAGAAAAGUGGAUCUUGUACCUCCAAGCAUCAAGGACUUGCAGAUAUUCAGGUUUCUUAAAAAUGGAGGUCUUCUGUUGGCAAGAGUUGUGGCUGUGACAUUCUGCCAAACCCUGGCAGCCUCAUUGGCAGCAAGAUUUGGUUCAUAUCUACGUAUAUUAUUAGUUCNAUUGCAUUGGAUCUUGUGUACAUGUUAAUUUUUGGUUGUGCAGAAUUGACCUAAAAAUAAGUUCCUNGUAUAAGAAAGCUAAUACAUUGUCCAUCAAAAAAAUUUUAGAGGCUUCAAAACAACUCAAAACCAUAAGGCAGUGCCUGAAGCAGAGGAUUCCAAUGUGAAAUCUGCUUGUAAUGGUUGGGAGAUGUACUUAACCACCUAUGUGAACACAAAUAGGUAAAUUAUUAUAGGUAAAUUAUUGUUAGCUUGAGUUCUUUUUAUAUUUGCUGAGAAAGGUUAUCACAUAUUGUUUGAGCCACUGAUUAAAAGUUUAAAAUUUGAAGAUAUUGUGGUUGUUUGAAGUGUUUAAGAGCAGAGUUUCCGGUCUAAAGCAUUACUUUUAUAUUAUCAACUGAUCUUCCCCUACCUCUUCGAUUGUUGGUAGAGAAAUUAUAUUUCAGGACUGGUGAUAUGUGAGUUUAGUAUUCGACCUAAUAGCUUAAGCUUUUAGAAAAGUUGGUACUUGAUUUUGGAAUAUAAUGCUACUUGAUCGAGCCAUCUAACCUAACUCUACACAUUGACUUAAAAUUUCAUUCACAAUUUGACAACUAAUAAACCAAUGUUAACACUGAAGGAAAGAAAAUUCUAAUGAAAGCACCUGUCUUUGAAUUCACUUUGAUCUAAAAUGUGCAGAAUAUAAAAUGGCAUAAUGCUUUACCUGUUACUAUAAUCAGGAUUAGGAGAUUUUACUUAUUAAGACCUUUAAUGCUAUAAAAGUUUUACCAUAAAGUCCAGGACUAUGUACGUAGCUAUAAAUGCUUUAUGNACUUUACAUUAAUAUAAUAAU